rnacentral:rRNA from 1 species
AGUGAACGCUGGCGGUAGGCCUAACACAUGCAAGUCGAACGGCAGCACAGUAAGAGCUUGCUCUUACGGGUGGCGAGUGGCGGACGGGUGAGGAAUACAUCGGAAUCUACUUUUUCGUGGGGGAUAACGUAGGGAAACUUACGCUAAUACCGCAUACGACCUACGGGUGGAAGCAGGGGAUCUUCGGACCUUGCGCGAUUGAAUGAGCCGAUGUCGGAUUAGCUAGUUGGCGGGGUAAAGGCCCACCCAGGCGACGAUCCGUAGCCGGUCUGAGAGGAUGGUCAGCCACACUGGAACUGAGACACGGUCCAGGCUCCUACGGGAGGCAGCAGUGGGGAAUAUUGGACAAUGGGCGCAAGCCUGAUCCAGCCAUACCGCGUGGGUGAAGAAGGCCUUCGGGUUGUAAAGCCCUUUUGUUGGGAAAGAAAAGCAGCAGGUUAAUACCCCGCUGUUCUGACGGUACCCAAAGAAUAAGCACCGGCUAACUUCGUG